GACGAACGCUGGCGGCGUGCCUAAUACAUGCAAGUCGAGCGAAUGGAUGGGAGCUUGCUCCCUGAAGUUAGCGGCGGACGGGUGAGUAACACGUGGGCAACCUGCCUAUAAGACUGGGAUAACUUCGGGAAACCGGAGCUAAUACCAGAUAAUUCAUGUCUACUCAUGUAGGUGUGCUGAAAGACGGUUUACGCUGUCACUUAUAGAUGGGCCCGCGGCGCAUUAGAUAGUUGGUGAGGUAACGGCUCACCAAGGCGACGAUGCGUAGCCGACCUGAGAGGGUGAUCGGCCACACUGGGACUGAGACACGGCCCAGACUCCUACGGGAGGCAGCAGUAGGGAAUCUUCCGCAAUGGACGAAAGUCUGACGGAGCAACGCCGCGUGAGUGAUGAAGGUUUUCGGAUCGUAAAACUCUGUUGUUAGGGAAGAACAAGUACUAGAGUAACUGCUAGUACCUUGACGGUACCUAACCAGAAAGCCACGGCUAACUACGUGCCAGCCGCCGCCGUAA
rnacentral:rRNA from 1 species